ensembl:lncRNA
AGAAAGCUCAGAGAUGUGUCCGUAACGCAAGACUGAAAUAAUAAUAAUAAUAACAACAAUAAUAAUAACAGUAAUUAAAUGAAUUAAAAAAACAAUAACAAUAAAGAAAGAGCGUGUCUGAUUGAGUGUAAUGACGGUUUAAGUGCUGAAACGUUUGGAUAUUUACUUGAUUUCAUCUGGAAGAAGUGUCGGUUGGUUCUCAAUAGGAACCAAGAGGAUUCUUAGUGUCGCAUUUUGGGUUUCUCUUGACCUCACUGGAUUUUAACCUGGUCACAGAGGGAGCAUCUUAAGCCAAAGAUUACAGAGCAGAAGAGGUCUGAGCAGGGAUCACAGAUGGAGGUGAAGAUCUGAGAGGAGAGAGGGAUGAACGGGGUGGUGACAGUCAGAGCCAG